AAUAAAUAUAAUUUUACACCGUUCAUCUUUAACAUUUGACCAUUUAUUUUAUUUAAAUUUUUUUUUAUGAUUAGUAUUUUUAUUGUUAUUAGAUAUAAAACAUUAAUAGUAUUUAAAGCAUGACUAACUAUUUUAAAUUUUUUUAUAAUUUUAUAAAUAAAAUGGACGAUUAAACACUGUACACGGAUACCCUCGACUAUAGUUAUU
rfam:Oryza rufipogon genomic scaffold, chr01